UAUUUCUAACGGGACAUACAAAUUAAAAGUACGUCUAAUUACUAGACUAGUACAUCACAAUUAUAGCACACUAUUACAUUGCUGGUGACUUAUGUCAUUGCACAUGGGAGUAGCACACUGGUACAUCACGAUUAUAGCACACUAGAGUAGUACACCGAUUAGUACAUGGCCGGUUUUGUAUUUUGUGGCCCGUGACCUGUGUCAUUACACAUGGGAGUGUGGGCACCGCAUGCAUGGAGGGUUGAGAUGGUCAAAAA
rnacentral:lncRNA from 1 species